rnacentral:rRNA from 1 species
AGAGUUUGAUCAUGGCUCAGAUUGAACGCUGGCGGCAGGCCUAACACAUGCAAGUCGAGCGGUAACACAGAGAGCUUGCUCUCGGGUGACGAGCGGCGGACGGGUGAGUAAUGUCUGGGAAACUGCCUGAUGGAGGGGGAUAACUACUGGAAACGGUAGCUAAUACCGCAUAACGUCGCAAGACCAAAGUGGGGGACCUUCGGGCCUCAUGCCAUCAGAUGUGCCCAGAUGGGAUUAGCUAGUAGGUGGGGUAAUGGCUCACCUAGGCGACGAUCCCUAGCUGGUCUGAGAGGAUGACCAGCCACACUGGAACUGAGACACGGUCCAGACUCCUACGGGAGGCAGCAGUGGGGAAUAUUGCACAAUGGGCGCAAGCCUGAUGCAGCGACGCCGCGUGAGGGAUGGAGGCCUUCGGGUUGUAAACCUCUUUUAUCGGGGAGCAAGCGAGAGUGAGUUUACCCGUUGAAUAAGCACCGGCUAACUACGUGCCAGCAGCCGCGGUAAUACGUAGGGUGCAAGCGUUAUCCGGAAUUAUUGGGCGUAAAGGGCUCGUAGGCGGUUCGUCGCGUCCGGUGUGAAAGUCCAUCGCUUAACGGUGGAUCCGCGCCGGGUACGGGCGGGCUUGAGUGCGGUAGGGGAGACUGGAAUUCCCGGUGUAACGGUGGAAUGUGUAGAUAUCGGGAAGAACACCAAUGGCGAAGGCAGGUCUCUGGGCCGUUACUGACGCUGAGGAGCGAAAGCGUGGGGAGCGAACAGGAUUAGAUACCCUGGUAGUCCACGCCGUAAACGGUGGAUGCUGGAUGUGGGGCCCGUUCCACGGGUUCCGUGUCGGAGCUAACGCGUUAAGCAUCCCGCCUGGGGAGUACGGCCGCAAGGCUAAAACUCAAAGGAAUUGACGGGGGCCCGCACAAGCGGCGGAGCAUGCGGAUUAAUUCGAUGCAACGCGAAGAACCUUACCUGGGCUUGACAUGUUCCCGACGGUCGUAGAGAUACGGCUUCCCUUCGGGGCGGGUUCACAGGUGGUGCAUGGUCGUCGUCAGCUCGUGUCGUGAGAUGUUGGGUUAAGUCCCGCAACGAGCGCAACCCUCGCCCCGUGUUGCCAGCGGAUUAUGCCGGGAACUCACGGGGGACCGCCGGGGUUAACUCGGAGGAAGGUGGGGAUGACGUCAGAUCAUCAUGCCCCUUACGUCCAGGGCUUCACGCAUGCUACAAUGGCCGGUACAACGGGAUGCGACGCGGCGACGCGGAGCGGAUCCCUGAAAACCGGUCUCAGUUCGGAUCGCAGUCUGCAACUCGACUGCGUGAAGGCGGAGUCGCUAGUAAUCGCGAAUCAGCAACGUCGCGGUGAAUGCGUUCCCGGGCCUUGUACACACCGCCCGUCAAGUCAUGAAAGUGGGCAGCACCCGAAGCCGGUGGCCUAACCCCUUGUGGGAUGGAGCCGUCUAAGGUGAGGCUCGUGAUUGGGACUAAGUCGUAACAAGGUAGCCGUACCGGAAGGUGCGGCUG